AAUUACUUGUGGAUAUUCAUCCCAUGUGACAUUCAUUCUGGAUGAAGCAUUAAAACUAACUGAGGGUUAUAACUGCAAACUCCUACCAGAAAUAUGUUUUUCUUCUAAAAGACCAUAACUUCAAACUCCUGUGGUGGAUAACGAUUUUGCUGCACGGAAAUAACAG